GAUGAACGCUGGCGGCGUGCCUAAUACAUGCAAGUCGAACGGGGAGUAGUUAAUUUCGGUUUUUUACUCCUAGUGGCGAACGGGUGAGUAACGCGUUGGUGACCUGCCCCGAAGCGGGGGAUAACAGUCCGAAAGGACUGCUAAUACCCCAUGUGGUCGUACAGGUUAGAGGCUGAACGACUAAAGGAGCAAUCCACUUCGGGAGGGGCCUGCGUCCCAUCAGCUAGUUGGUAAGGUAACGGCCUACCAAGGCGAUGACGGGUAGGGGACCUGAGAGGGUGGUCCCCCACACUGGCACUGAAACACGGGCCAGACACCUACGGGUGGCAGCAGUAGGGAAUAUUGCACAAUGGGCGAAAGCCUGAUGCAGCAACGCCGCGUGCGCGAAGAAGGCCUUCGGGUUGUAAAGCGCUUUUCUGGAGGAAGAGGAAGGACGGUACUCCAGGAAUAAGGAUCGGCUAACUACGUG
rnacentral:rRNA from 1 species